GACGAGGGAUCCUAGCGUUGUUCGGAAUUAUUGGGCGUAAAGCGCGCGUAGGUGGCCUCAUAAGUCCGUUGUGAAAGUCAAAGGCUCAACCUUUGAAAGCCGAUGGAUACUGUGAGACUAGAGUACGGAAGAGGCGAGUGGAAUUCCUGGUGUAGUGGUGAAAUGCGUAGAGAUCGGGAGGAACACCCGUGGCGAAGGCGGCCAGCUGGGCCGACCCUGACGCUGAGGCGCGAAGGCGUGGGGAGCGAACGGG
rnacentral:rRNA from 1 species